ensembl:lncRNA
CUAAACAACAAAAACAAUCAGAAUAGACUGGCAUCCCUAUUUGUGUCUGAGAUGCUCGUGCAAGCUUGGUGACGAGCUUCCUUUCUGGAACAUACGCAGGUCACCUUUCACUUGGGGGGCCCCUCUUCAGCCUGUCAUCCCCCCCAAGGCCCAGAGACCACAGCCAGGGUCCCCUAGGCACAAGGCAGGUUUCAGGGGAGGGCAGGUGCAGCAGGAAUGUGUCUGAACCAAAACCAGAACGAAUGAGCAGACGGGUAUGUGUGCUUAUGGAAUACCAGAGCACUAUUUGAAACCCAGAUUCUCCUAGAACCUGAGGGCACACGACCUUGGCAAUCAGCGAUCAGUAUCUGACUCCCAGCUCCCAAACGGAGCAGGUGGAAAGGAGGCUGUAGCCUCACAAACAGGCUGAGCGAGUGGCAUCUGUUUCCACCCUGGCUAUCUCCUCCUGUCUCAGCGCAGCCCACGGGCCCAUCCACAGCUGGCUCCUCCCUGGGGUUCCCUCUGAGCAGUACCAUUGUGCAAUGGAUUCUUCCACCAACUUCUCCGAGGUCAGAUUUAGCUCUGGGGGAGGCCUGGGAAUCCUGAAGGGAAUGGAGGCUCACGAGAGACUGAUUCUAUGGGGAAACUUGGGACAAUAUCAGUCAAGGGACAUUAUGGCAAAUGUAUGACAUUGCUGUACCCGCUGCCAUCUUUUCAGUCAGAUGAAGCUAUCCCUGCUCCCACAGACACAGCUCCAGGAGGAAAUACGGGAGCUUAUCAAGAGAGCACGUACAUCCUCACCAUAGAUGCCGUGGUCCCGCCGGCGAAGCUGGCGCUGGCCUUCCCAUCUGAGAUGGAUAAAGCUCUGAGGCC